rnacentral:rRNA from 1 species
CGUAGGUGGUAGUGCAAGUCUGAGGUGGAAUCCCAGGGCUUAACCCUGGAACUGCCUUGGAAACUGCAUUACUUGAGUCAGUGAGGGGAGGGUAGAAUUCCUGGUGUAGCGGUGAAAUGCGUAGAUAUCAGGAGGAAGGCCGGUGGCGAAGGCGGCCCUCUGGCGCUGAACUGACACUGAGGCGCGAAAGCGUGGGGAGCAAACAGGAUUAGAUACCCUGGUAGUCCACGCCCUAAACGGUGGGUACUAGGUGUAGGGCUCGUAAGGGUUCUGUGCCGAAGCGAAAGCAUUAAGUACCCCGCCUGGGGAGUACGGCCGCAAGGUUGAA